AACGAACGCUGGCGGCAUGCCUAACACAUGCAAGUCGAACGAAGCCUUCGGGCUUAGUGGCGCACGGGUGCGUAACGCGUGGGAAUCUGCCCUUUGGUUCGGAAUAACAGUUGGAAACGACUGCUAAUACCGGAUGAUGACGAAAGUCCAAAGAUUUAUCGCCAGAGGAUGAGCCCGCGUAGGAUUAGCUAGUUGGUGUGGUAAAGGCGCACCAAGGCGACGAUCCUUAGCUGGUCUGAGAGGAUGAUCAGCCACACUGGGACUGAGACACGGCCCAGACUCCUACGGGAGGCAGCAGUGGGGAAUAUUGGACAAUGGGCGAAAGCCUGAUCCAGCAAUGCCGCGCGAGUGAAGAAGGCCCCAGGGUUGUAAAGCUCUUUUACCCGGGAUGAUAAUGACAGUACCGGGAGAAUAAGCCCCGGCUAACUCCGUGCCAGCCGCCGCCGUAA
rnacentral:rRNA from 1 species